ACAAAGACCAGAGGCUGCACAUGUGCAGGUCCUGGGAGGGACCUUAGCAAAGUGUUCCCACAGUUACAUCCUGGUGAUGAGCAAAAAAGAGAAAUUUUAACCAGAGUCAGACAAGACCGCACUCUCCUUCCACUCCGAUUCCUCCCUGGUCCACAUCCCCUGUGGCAGGAGAAGUCAGAGUCAGAGGAGGCAGGAGGAGCAUGGAGAGUGAUCAUGGGAACACAAGGAGCACGGGGAGCAUGGGGAGCACGAGGAGUAUGUGGAGCACAGAGAGCAUGGAGAAUAUAAGGAGCACUGGAAGCACAGGACACAUGAGGAGUACGGGGAGCACAAAGAUCAUGAGGAGCAGGGGAGCACAGAGAGCAUGGGGAGCACGAAGAGCAUGGGGAGCAUGGAGAAUAUAAGGAGCACUGGAAGCACAGGACACAUGAGGAGUACGGGGAGCACGAAGAUCAUGAGGAGCAGGGGAGCACAGAGAGCAUGGGGAGCACGAAGAGCAUGGAAGCAUGGAGAAUAUAAGGAGCACUGAAAGCACAGGACACAAGAGGAGUACGGGGAGCACAAAGAUCAUGAGAAGCAGGGGAGCACAGAGAGCAUGGGGAGCACGAAGAGCAUGGGGAGCAUGGAGAAUAUAAGGAGCCCUGGAAGCACAGGGCACACGAGGAGUAUGGGGAGCAUGAGGAGUACGAGGAGCACUAGGAGCACGAGGAGCAGGGGAGCACAGACAGCAUGUGGAGCAUGAGGAGCAUGGAGAAUGUAAGGACCCCUGGAAGCACAGGGCACAUGACGAGUAUGGGGAGCAUGGGGAACAAGAGGAGUAUGGGGAGCACCAGGAGCACGAAGAGCAGGGCAGCAUAGACAGCAUGAGGAGCAUGGAGAAUGUAAGGAGCCCUGGAAGCACAGGGCACACAAGGAGCAUGGGGAGCACAGAGCAGGGAGCACGGAGAGCAGGGGAGUGCAGGGCACUUGAGGAGCACAAGGAGCCCUGGGGUUGCCCAGGUGGGGGAACAUGAAAAGCACUGGAAGUUACAGCCCUGGGCACAUGUGUGUCCUCCACCACCCAGAGGGCACAACAGCUGUGGCCUUGGGGACCCUCCCCACUGGCCCCAGGCAGUUCUCUACA
rnacentral:lncRNA from 10 species